UGGGGAAUUUUCUGCAAUGGGCGAAAGCCUGACAGAGCAAUACCGCGUGAGGGAUGAAGGCCCGUGGGUCGUAAACCUCUUUUUUCAAGGAGGAAGUUCUGACGUGUACUUGAAGAAUAAGCAUCGGCUAACUCUGUGCCAGCAGCCGCGGUAAGACAGAGGAUGCAAGUGUUAUCCGGAAUUACUGGGCGUAAAGCGUCUGCAGGUUGUUUAUUAAGUCUGUUGUUAAAUCUUGAGGCUUAACCUUAAAAUGGCAAUGGAAACUAUUAGACUUGAGUAUGGUAGAGGUAAAAGGAAUUUCCAGUGGAGCGGUGAAAUGCGUAGAUAUUGGAAAGAACACCGAUGGCGAAGGCGUUUUACUGGGCCUUAACUGACACUCAGAGAC
rnacentral:rRNA from 1 species